GGGUGAUUAGCUCAGCUGGAGAGAGCACCUCCUUACAAGGAGGGUCGGCGGUUCGACUCCGUCAUCACCCG
rnacentral:tRNA from 1 species